CGCGUGGGAAUCUGCCCUCUGGUACGGAAUAACUCAGGGAAACUUGAGCCAAUACCGUAUAAUGACUCCGGUCCAAAGAUUUACUCGCCGUGAAGGAUGUAGCCCGCGGUAGGAUUAGCUAGUUGGUGAGGUAAAGUCUCACCAAGGCGACGAUCCUUAGCUGGUCUGAGAGGGUGAUCGGCCACACUGGGACGUGAGACACGGUCCCAGACUCCUACGGGAGGCAGCAGUGGGGAAUCUUAGACAAUGGGGCGCAAGCCUGAUCUAGCCAUGCCGCGUGUGUGAUGAAGGCCUUAGGGG
rnacentral:rRNA from 1 species